rnacentral:lncRNA from 1 species
GGCUUCAAAACUCUCUCAAGAAACUAAGCUGGGGAAAUCAUAGUAGUCAUGUCAUUUGUUUCUCACCUCUUAGAAAUUACUGCCUUUCACGACACUGCAUUCCAGCCUGGGCCACAGAGCAAGAAUCCAUUCCAAAAAAAAGAAAAAAGAAAAAAUUCAUGAAACACCUUUAAGAAACUGACUGAGGAAAUCUAAGAUAAAUACUUUAGGAAUCUGAAGAAGCCCCUUCAUAAUGGGGAUAAUGGCACCAAAAAUAUCACUAAGUAGUCAGUAAGGAUGAAACAAAAAAUGUAUGAUGGAGAGCCAAAAGAAACUACAGGAAACAGCUACCUGUUUAAUGCCUUGGCUCUUAGAAAGAAAUCGCAGACAUCUAAGAAUGCUGCUACUCUUCAAUUUCAAGAGUGGAAUCAGUGGAAAGUUUAGAUUUCACCAAAUUUGGGCUUAUCUUAGUGUUGAAUUUGAGAGCAUGUAAUCUGAUGCUGUUGAGAGCCAUGCCAUCCAAUCGCCUGGAAGACCUCUUCUUGGACCACAAAUCACCUAACGUACUAUCCCUCUUUGUUCUAAUGAAGAAAGGAAAAAUUAAAGCAAGCUACCGUGGUUUAUUACUCAUGUUUUCUCUGUUAUGCAUGGGCCGUGGGAGCCACUGCAUUCACAUU